UCUCAAUCUUGAGCUAAACAGGGCAAGCAGAAGCCAUGAAAAUGUACUAACCCCGUGCUGUUCUGGGGAAGGCAAAUCUUCUGCAGGCAAGUGGUGCUUUGUUACCAACCUUUAUGCUGUUCUGCACCCUACCUCACAUCUAAGCCGCAAAGUCGUGGCUGUCCAGCAGGUCUGGGGACAGAAACAUCUUUUGCUCCCUUCAAAUUUUACACUAGAGGAACAAAAGCGAAGUUUGUUAUUUGUUCAUUCCUUGCAUUUGAAGUCCUCCGUCUCGACAUCAUCCUUGGCCUGAAACUCUGCUCAAGUCCUUAACCACACGACGGCAACCAGCCACUCCAGGUGGGUUUGCCUCUUGUCAGUUUUACACAGGUUUACCCAGUCCCCUAGUUACUUGUCCUCAGCAGCCUUAAUUAGGCUGCUUUGGUGUUCAGCACAAAGGGCCUCCAUCAGCUGACAGACAGGCUCAUCCCAGUUGGAUGCAAGCUCACAAAGGGAGGCUUUAACAAUUUCUUGAAUUCCAUUUGCUAGGCCAUCCCCGACGGGACAGUCUUCAGCACCCCUUGUAAAGCCAUGGCUCUGGGUUCCUAGGGGAGCCAAAUCUUGAAUUCACUGGAGCCUCCGGGUGACUGAGGGUGGUAGGGAAAAGAGCUAGACUUCUCAUUAGGACCUUCCUGUGUUUUGCCCAAAUUUCCAUAACAAGGAUGAUUUGCUUUAAAAUUUGGCAAAACAGUAAGAAAACAGCAAGAGUUAUUCAUUGAAAAUGCAUGUUAUUCAGGAACAUUGGG
rnacentral:lncRNA from 1 species